GCCUACAGCCAUACUAUCCUAAAUGCACCUAUCUCAUCUGAUCUUCAAAGCUAAGUAGGGUCCAGUGUGGCUAGUGUUUAGAUGGGAGACCACCUAGGAAUACCAGGUUCAAUAGGUU
rnacentral:rRNA from 1 species